UACAGAGGUCCCGAGCGUUGUUCGGAUUCACUGGGCGUAAAGGGUGCGUAGGCGGUGGGGUAAGUUGGAUGUGAAAUCUUGGGGCUUAACCUCAAAAUUGCAUUCAAUACUGCUCCGCUCGAGUUCUGUAGAGGAGAUUGGAAUUUACGGUGUAGCAGUGAAAUGCGUAGAUAUCGUAAGGAACGCCAGUGGCGAAAGCGAAUCUCUGGGCAGCAACUGACGCUGAGGCACGAAGGCCAGGGGAGCAAACGGG
rnacentral:rRNA from 1 species